rnacentral:rRNA from 1 species
UAAGGGCGCACGGUGGAUGCCUUGGCACUAGAAGCCGAUGAAGGACGUUACUAACGACGAUAUGCUUUGGGGAGCUGUAAGUAAGCUUUGAUCCAGAGAUUUCCGAAUGGGGAAACCCAGCAUGAGUUAUGUCAUGUUAUCGAUAUGUGAAUACAUAGCAUAUCAGAAGGCACACCCGGAGAACUGAAACAUCUUAGUACCCGGAGGAAGAGAAAGAAAAUUCGAUUCCCUUAGUAGCGGCGAGCGAAACGGGAAGAGCCCAAACCAACAAGCUUGCUUGUUGGGGUUGUAGGACACUCUAUACGGAGUUACAAAGGACGACAUUAGACGAAUCAUCUGGAAAGAUGAAUCAAAGAAGGUAAUAAUCCUGUAGUCGAAAAUGUUGUCUCUCUUGAGUGGAUCCUGAGUACGACGGAGCACGUGAAAUUCCGUCGGAAUCUGGGAGGACCAUCUCCUAAGGCUAAAUACUCUCUAGUGACCGAUAGUGAACCAGUACCGUGAGGGAAAGGUGAAAAGCACCCCGGGAGGGGAGUGAAAUAGAACCUGAAACCGUGUGCUUACAAGUAGUCAGAGCCCGUUAAUGGGUGAUGGCGUGCCUUUUGUAGAAUGAACCGGCGAGUUACGAUUUGAUGCAAGGUUAAGCAGUAAAUGUGGAGCCGUAGCGAAAGCGAGUCUGAAUAGGGCGUUUAGUAUUUGGUCGUAGACCCGAAACCAGGUGAUCUACCCUUGGUCAGGUUGAAGUUCAGGUAACACUGAAUGGAGGACCGAACCGACUUACGUUGAAAAGUGAGCGGAUGAACUGAGGGUAGCGGAGAAAUUCCAAUCGAACCUGGAGAUAGCUGGUUCUCUCCGAAAUAGCUUUAGGGCUAGCCUCAAGUGAUGAUUAUUGGAGGUAGAGCACUGUUUGGACGAGGGGCCCCUCUCGGGUUACCGAAUUCAGACAAACUCCGAAUGCCAAUUAAUUUAACUUGGGAGUCAGAACAUGGGUGAUAAGGUCCGUGUUCGAAAGGGAAACAGCCCAGACCACCAGCUAAGGUCCCAAAAUAUAUGUUAAGUGGAAAAGGAUGUGGCGUUGCCCAGACAACUAGGAUGUUGGCUUAGAAGCAGCCAUCAUUUAAAGAGUGCGUAAUAGCUCACUAGUCGAGUGACACUGCGCCGAAAAUGUACCGGGGCUAAACAUAUUACCGAAGCUGUGGAUUGUCCUUUGGACAAUGGUAGGAGAGCGUUCUAAGGGCGUUGAAGCAU